CCUACACGACCGUACCGCAAACCGACACUGGUGCGCGAGAUGAGUAUUCUAAGGCGCUUGAGAGAACUCAGGAGAAGGAACUCGGCAAAUUGACACCGUAACUUCGGAAGAAGGUGUGCCUUUAGUAGGUGAAGGGAUUUACUCCUGGAGCCCAAUGAGGUUGCAAAAAAUCGGUGGCUGCGACUGUUUAUUAAAAACACAGCACUCUGCAAACACGAAAGUGGACGUAUAGGGUGUGACGCCUGCCCGGUGCUGGAAGAUUAAAUGAUGGGGUGCAAGCUCUUGAUUGAAGUCCCAGUAAACGGCGGCCGUAACAAUAACGGUCCUAAGGUAGCGAAAUUCCUUGUCGGGUAAGUUCCGACCUGCACGAAUGGCGUAACGAUGGCCACACUGUCUCCUCCUGAGACUCAGCGAAGUUGAAAUGUUUGUGAUGAUGCAAUCUCCCCGCGGAAAGACGGAAAGACCCCAUGAACCUUUACUGUAGCUUUGUAUUGGACUUUGAACAGAUCUGUGUAGGAUAGGUGGGAGGCUUUGAAGCAGGGUCGCUAGAUCUUGUGGAGCCAACGUUGAAAUACCACCCUGGUGUGUUUGAGGUUCUAACCUAGGCCCGUAAUCCGGGUUGGGGACAGUGCAUGGUAGGCAGUUUGACUGGGGCGGUCUCCUCCCAAAGUGUAACGGAGGAGUUCGAAGGUACGCUAGUUACGGUCGGACAUCGUGACGAUAGUGCAAUGGCAUAAGCGUGCUUAACUGCGAGACUGACAAGUCGAGCAGAUGCGAAAGCAGGACAUAGUGAUCCGGUGGUUCUGUAUGGAAGGGCCAUCGCUCAACGGAUAAAAGGUACUCUGGGGAUAACAGGCUGAUACCGCCCAAGAGUUCAUAUCGACGGCGGUGUUUGGCACCUCGAUGUCGGCUCAUCUCAUCCUGGGGCUGUAGCCGGUCCCAAGGGUAUGGCUGUUCGCCAUUUAAAGAGGUACGUGAGCUGGGUUUAAAACGUCGUGAGACAGUUUGGUCCCUAUCUUCCGUGGGCGCUGCAGAUUUGAGGAAGCCUGCUCCUAGUACGAGAGGACCGGAGUGGACGCACCUCUGGUGUAUCGGUUGUCACGCCAGUGGCAUUGCCGAGUAGCUAUGUGCGGAAGAGAUAACCGCUGAAAGCAUCUAAGCGGGAAACUCGUUUCAAGAUGAGAUCUGCCGGGGCCUUGAGCCCCCUGAAGAGUCGUUCAAGACCAGGACGUUGAUAGGUCGGGUGUGGAAGCGCAGUAAUGCGUUAAGCUAACCGAUACUAAUUGCUCGUGCGGCUUGACCCC
rnacentral:rRNA from 1 species